GAAUACCCUGAAAAAUGUUGGCUGCCAUGACAUAAACGGAGUCCGGAUAGCCCGUUUUUUCGGGCACACCAGCUGAGCUUUUCCCACCGGACAGAGGCAGGGAAGUGAGUUGGGAGAUGAUCUCGGGAUCUUCUUCGUUCGAAAACUCCAGUUCGCCCGUGGAAUUCAGCAUGUCUGCCCCUCGCCUGUCGUGAGUCCUUCACCCUGGGGUUAGAAUUCCGAUGUUCCAGGAAACGGCUUUCCUCGCAUCUGCAGCAUGGUCUCUGUGAAGAGAGAAGAAAAUGGAGAUAAAUAGGCCGGGCGCGGUGGCUCACUCCUGUAAUCCCAGCACUUUGGGAGGUUGAGACGGGUGGAUCACCUGAGGUCAAGAGUUCAAGACCAGCCUGGCCAACAUGGUGAAAUCCUAUCUCUACUAAAAAUACAAAAAAUUAGCCUGGCGUGGUGGUGUGUGCCUGUAAUCCCAGUUACUCAGGAGACUGAGGCAGGAGAAUCCCUUGAACCCAGGAAGCGGAGGUUGCAGUGAGCUGAGCUUGUCCCACUGUACUCCAAUCUGAGUGACAAAAAAAAAAAAAAAGAAAGAA
ensembl:lncRNA novel transcript, antisense to NSUN7